UGGACUACCCGGGUUUCUAAUCCUGUUCGCUCCCCACGCUUUCGCUCCUCAGCGUCAGUUCCAGCCCAGAGCGCCGCCUUCGCCGCUGGUGUUCCUCCUGAUAUCUGCGCAUUUCACCGCUACACCAGGAAUUCCACGCUCCCCUACUGGACUCUAGCCACAGCAGUAUCGGGUGGCGUCUCCAGGUUGAGCCUGGAGGUUUCACACCCGACUUACUGAGCCGCCUACGAGCUCUUUACGCCCAAUGAAUCCGGACAACGCUUGCCCCCUACGUGUUACCGCGGCGGCUGGCACC
rnacentral:misc_RNA from 1 species